rnacentral:rRNA from 1 species
CUUUCAACAACGGAUCUCUAGGCUCUUGCAUCGAUGAAGAACGCAGUGAAAUGCGAUAAGUAAUGUGAAUUGCAGAAUUCUCGUGAAUCAUUGAAUCUUUGAACGCACAUUGCGCGCUUUGGCAUUCCAUAGGGCAUGCCUGUCUGAGCGUCAGCA